rnacentral:tRNA from 1 species
GUUAAGAUAACUUAAGGUAAAGUUUAAUACUGAAGAUAUUAUUAUGGGUAUAAACCCUCUUGACA